CUCCGAAACCUUAUCCAGCCCAAUAUAAUACCUAAUCAUUAGGCUUCGCAAUGGACGUCGCCUUGGUCGAUAUACAUGCCCAAACCGAGCCAAUGGAUCCCCAUCCCCGACUCGAUAAAUUGGACCGCGAAGACGAACUGGGGAUCUCCGCAAGGUUUGGAGAUGAAGCGGAAAGCGACGGAGGGUUCGAAGAGGGAUUUGGAGAGCGACGUCGUUCGACGUAGAGCUGGAGUAAGUAGAAGAGAGCGCAAAGGAAUAGAGAACCUAAUAUUCCUCAGCUUUAGACUACACCUGGAAAUGCCACUACAAGUCUUAUUCCGGUUACUCCGGCGCCGGGGAUGGUGGUCGGGUUCGGUUUAUUGAGUUUCGAGUCGGAUUUGGGUCAGGGUCAUG
rnacentral:misc_RNA from 1 species